rnacentral:lncRNA from 1 species
UAGUGAAGCAAGCUGCUCAAACAGUUAUAGAAGUAGUUAUACUUGUUACAGAACAACAUCGCAGAGAUGGGAACACACGCGUAAAUGUGGUUGGCUUUGGAAAAAAAGAUGCCACAGACAUUAUUCGUAAUUAAGAAAGAUAAAGAGUUUAAAUAAACUUGAUGCAAUACACUUUAUAUUCUCAUUCAUCGAAAUAUGUGUCAAAUACAUUUAUAAAAGAACCAUUCUUUUCACGAAUUUAAGGAGACCAUGUCAAUCAAUUAGACAUAUUCAAAUAUAUUGUAGACUAUAAGUCACACCAGUUCUUUGCAUCACUCAUAUCCAUAUUAAAAAUCUUGUAAUUUGUGAUAUGAAAACUUAAAGAUCUGAGCUUUUAAAAUGUUUGUAAUUGUUAACAGCUUAUAAGCCUACACAAAAGGCCAACAUAAUGCUCAGAAAUGUAAAAGUUUGCAACCGUUUUCCCUUUCAAAGCAAACACAAUACGGAAAACUAAAAAUAUGACACAGAAAAGAUAUAUAAUUAAACACAGAAAAAGAAAACAAGUACAACACGGAAAACUAUAACAUAAAGCAUACAUUUAUAAUAAAUUAUCAGUUGAACUCAAAUGCUCUUAAAUAGUAAGCGGUUCAUAAAAGUGAAUACAACGCAGAAAACUAAAAAGCAAAUACAACAUGGAGAACUUAAACUAAAUACAACACGGAGAACUUAAACCAAAUACAACACGGAGAACUUAAACCAAAUACAACACGGAGAACUUAAACCAAAUGCAACACGGAGAACUUAAACCAAAUGCAACAUGGAGAACUUAAACCAAAUACAACACGGAGAACAUAAACCAAAUACAACACGGAGAACUUAAACCAAAUACAACACGGAGAACUUAAAUCAAAUACAACACGGAGAAAUUAAACCAAAUACAACACGGAGAACUUUAACCAAAUCAACACGGAGAACUUAAACCAAAUACAACAUGGAGAUUAUAAACCAAAUACAAAACAGAGAAUUUGAACCAUAUGCAACACGGAGAACUUAAAACAGAAGGUUUUGGUUGUGCUGGACUUUUUUCUCUUCGUAUUUAAGAAUGUUUUAUAAUAAACUCUGUGAGCACAUGUCGAUUAGUAGGAAUCAUGCAUAUGAGUAUAUCAAAUCAUUUUUAAUUGUACUCAUGGUAUUGGGUCAAGCAUUACCCUUUAGCCUGUAUUUUUUUUGUAAUCAGUAUAAUAUAUCACUUUUCAUAUUUCAGCUACUCUUACUCGCGUGUGAGUGAUACUUGCUAUACAUACAAAGAUUGUCCAAGUAAGUUUACAGUGUUUUAUUUCUUCUAAAUCAAAAUAUCGUUCAAGGUGGAGAACCCAUUAUUCAUUCUUUAUAGUACCGUUAAGAGAGCACCGUCAUGAUAAUUUGUAAGAACUUUUUUCGUGUUUAUUUGUAUGCUGACAACUAAAUUUAACAGUUAAAGCGAAUAUAUCUCAAGACAUUGUUUAACCCCGCCGCAUUUUCGCGCCUGUCCCAAGUCAGGAGCCUCUGGCCUUUGUUAGUCUUGUAUCAUUUUAAUUUUAAUUUCUUGUAUACAAUUUGGAAAUUAGUUGGCGUUCACAUGAACUAGUAUAUAUUUGUUUAGGGGCCAGCUGAAGGACGCUCCGGUGCGGGAAUUUCUCGCUACAUUGAAGACCUGUUGGCGACCUUCUGCUGUUGUUUUUUUCUAUGAUCGGGUUGUUGUCUCUUUGACACAUUCCCCAUUUCCAUUCUCAAUUUUAUUAUAAAAGAAUACAAACAGUACCAUAAUUUAUAGUGAUAAUUUCAUAGCAUAUGUGAGUUUCGUGUGUAUUAAGGUUACACAAAUGAUGUUUUCACAAAAAUGUCAGUAGAAAUCUUAAAUAAAAGAAGACUUUUGCUUGUUUAAUUUUGAUUGCAGUGUGUAUAUGUAUGUUUAUAUUUAGGUUACUAUGGUUGGAGUGGUUGGGGAUCAUGGGGAAGCUGGGGUAGUUGUUCAUCAUCCAGUUCUAACCCACGCAGAUACAGAUAUAAAUAUAAAACAUGUGGCUAUUCUAGUAGCAACUGCUGCUACUGUGGGUCUAAAGGGAGUAGGACAUCAUCUUCUGAUUAUCAGAAAUGCA